GCAUGGGUACCUCAGUUGGUAGAUCAUCAGAUUUUUAAUUUGAAGGUCCAGGGUUCAAGUCCCUAUUCAGGCU
rnacentral:tRNA from 1 species